UUUGGGAUAGCCCAGAGAAAUUUGGAUUAAUAUCAGAUAGUAUAUAGGACUGGCAUCUUUAUAAUUAAAGUUCCGACGGCAAGAGAUGAGUAUGCGUCCUAUUAGCUAGAUGGUAAGGUAACGGCUUACCAUGGCAACGAUAGGUAGGGGCCCUGAGAGGGAGAUCCCCCACACUGGUACUGAGACACGGACCAGACUCCUACGGGAGGCAGCAGUGAGGAAUAUUGGGCAAUGGAGGCAACUCUGACCCAGCCAUGCCGCGUGCAGGAAGACUGCCCUAUGGGUUGUAAACUGCUUUUAUACAGGAAGAAACCCACGCUCGUGAGCGUGGCUGACGGUACUGUAAGAAUAAGGACCGGCUAACUCCGUGCCAGCAGCCGCGGUAAUACGGAGGGUCCAAGCGUUAUCCGGAAUCAUUGGGUUUAAAGGGUCCGUAGGCGGGCAAUUAAGUCAGGGGUGAAAUCCCACAGCUCAACCUGUAAAAUUGCCUUUGAUACUGAUGGUCUUGAGUUAUGGUGAAGUUGCUGGAAUAUGUAGUGUAGCGGUGAAAUGCAUAGAUAUUACAUAGAACACCGAUUGCGAAGGCAGGUGACUAACCAUGUACUGACGCUGAUGGACGAAAUCGUGGGGAGCGAACAGGAUUAGAUACCCUGGUAGUCCACGCCGUAAACGAUGGAUACUAGCUGUCCGGCUUGAGCAGUGGGCGGCCAAGCGAAAGUGAUAAGUAUCCCACCUGGGGAGUACGUUCGCAAGAAUGAAACUCAAAGGAAUUGACGGGGGCCCGCACAAGCGGUGGAGCAUGUGGUUUAAUUCGAUGAUACGCGAGGAACCUUACCAGGGCUUAAAUGUAUUUUGACAGGUUUAGAGAUAGACUUUCCUUCGGGCAAUUUACAAGGUGCUGCAUGGUUGUCGUCAGCUCGUGCCGUGAGGUGUCAGGUUAAGUCCUAUAACGAGCGCAACCCCUGUUGUUAGUUGCCAGCGAGUCAUGUCGGGAACUCUAACAAGACUGCCAGUGCAAACUGUGAGGAAGGUGGGGAUGACGUCAAAUCAUCACGGCCCUUACGUCCUGGGCCACACACGUGCUACAAUGGUAGGUACAGAGAGCAGCCAUGUCGCAAGGCUGAGCGAAUCUAUAAAACCUAUCACAGUUCGGACGGAGUCUUGCAACCGACUCCGUGAAGCUGGAAUCGCUAGUAAUCGCAUAUCAGCCAUGAUGCGGUGAAUACGUUCCCGGGCCUUGU
rnacentral:rRNA from 1 species